rnacentral:lncRNA from 1 species
AAAAUCUUAAAGAAAUUCAAAAUAAAUCCACAAUAAAUCUUAAAAGAAUCUCUAAAAAAUCCUAAAUAAAUAUUAAAAUAAUUACAAAUAUAUUUUAAAUAAAUCACAAUUAAGUUCUAAUUUAAUCUUGGUUAAAAUCCUAAUAGACUUCAAUAAAAUCCUAGGCCAAAUCCUAAAUCCUAAACCCUAAAAAAGAUCCUAAACCAAAUCCUAAAACCUAGUCCAAUCCUAAAUCCUAAUUAAUCUUUAAUCAAAUCUUAAGCAAUUCUUAAAUCAUAAAUCUUAAGUAAAUCCUAAAUCAAAUCCUAAAUCCUAGUCCAAUCCUAAAUUCUAACCAAACCUUAAUCAAAUCCUAAACCCUAACUCAAUCCUAAUCCUAAACCAAAUCCUAAUAAAAACUUAACCAAUUCAAUCUAAUCUUAGUAUAAUAUAGAACCUCAAUAUCUAUUGAUUAAAU